UACGUAGGGACCAAGCGUUGUUCGGAUUUACUGGGCGUAAAGGGCGCGUAGGCGGCGCGGUAAGUCACUUGUGAAAUCUCUGAGCUUAACUCGGAAAGGUCAACUGAUACUGUGCGGCUAGAGUGCGGAAGGGGCAACUGGAAUUCUUGGUGUAGCGGUGAAAUGCGUAGAUAUCAAAAGGAACACCUGCGGCGAAGGCGGGUUGCUGGGCCGACACUGACGCUGAGGCGCGAAAGCCAGGGGAGCGAACGGG
rnacentral:rRNA from 1 species